rnacentral:tRNA from 1 species
GGGAGUGUGCCCGAGUGGACAAAGGGAUCAGACUGUAAAUCUGACGGCAAUGCCUACGGUGGUUCGAAUCCACCCGCUCCCA